CCUACGGGAGGCAGCAGUGAGGAAUAUUGGUCAAUGGCCGGAAGGCUGAACCAGCCAUGCCGCGUGAAGGUCAGUGCCCUAUGGGCGUUAAACUUCUUUUGUGCGGGAGCAAUAAUGGUCACGUGUGGCCAGACGAGAGUACCGUACGAAUAAGCAUCGGCUAACUCCGUGCCAGCAGCCGCGGUAAUACGGGGGAUGCAAGCGUUAUCCGGAUUUAUUGGGUUUAAAGGGUGCGUAGGCUGUGAGGGAAGUCAGCGCUGAAAUGCCCCCGCUCAACGGGGUGAAGUGCCAUUGAUACUGCCUGGCUGGAAUGCGGAUGCCGUGGGAGGAAUGUGUGGUGUAGCGGUGAAAUGCAUAGAUAUCACACAGAACACCGAUUGCGAAGGCAUCUCACGAAUCCGCGAUUGACGCUGAUGCACGAAAGCGUGGGUAUCAAACAGGAUUAGAUACCCUGGUAGUC
rnacentral:rRNA from 1 species